AUGGAGCUUCCUCGGGUCAAAACAGACAAUCCCCACCCCCAGCGCAGAGCUCGCUUCAGGUCAAACUCGAUUGUCACCCUCAGGGUCACGCCCACGGACCACGCCCGAGGCCCCGCUCGCACAGAUCCGAGGGUCUGGUUACCGUGGGCUCGGUUCCGGCUCCCUCCUCAGAAUUACCAGGCCCGGCUGGAACUCCCUGUUUCCUCCCUGCCCUCCCCUCCGGGACCAGCUUCCUAUUCUGCCCUCUCAGUCCGAGCUCCGGGUUCCCGCCUCCUCAGAGCCCCUAGGACCUACCAACCUCACCCCCGGCCAAGGAUCAGGCGUCUGCGCCUGCGCACUCCCUCGUGGGCCGGAGCUCCCAGGAGUCUACGGGGCGGUGCGUUAGUAGUCCGGCUGUCCAAGCUACCGGCUCUCGGGACCGUUUGUGUCAACGUCCGCGCUUUUCCAGAGUGGGCUACGUUUCUCACAGGCCCUGGGGGAGGUAGUGAACCUCAUCCUCCGGUUCAUUUUCCGCUAGGCUUGCGGUCACCGUUUUCCGUGUGGUAAGGUAGAGCUUCAUUUUUGCGGUUCUGGUGCUGAGGAAUCUGUCUGUGGACAAGAUCCCCGUGUGACUCAGUCUGUGCCUGUGAAAGACUUCGAGGCCCUAGUUAACCACGGUGGCCCACUGUUCUAAAGGAUGGCUUUUGUUCCGUUCAUGCCUUCAUCAGUGCACCCUGCAUGUAUUGUCCAGCCUACUGCUUAACGUAUUGAAGGAAUAGAGUACGUUAAGUGUAGUGCAUUCUUGACCCAGUUGUAAGUUCCACUUGGAAUUUUUUGUACUGGGUUUUCUUUCACUGCCUCUGUCAUUGCACCUUAUAACCACACUGUAUAGAAAUGCUAGUUGCACAAAAAUGGCUUUCAAAGGGAAGUUGAACAUUUGAGACCUAGAAUGAAGGUUACAAUUAAAAAGUACCACCCUGUGUUUAUUGUGGCGAUGUUAGAGCUGGAAUUGCCUCCAAGGCAGGGUCCUGGGAAGACAUGAUAUGGAGGCACCAAGAGUAGGAUUACUUCCUUUGAAUUUUCCCCUUGGCAGCUCCGUGGGGUCAGGUUGCAUAUUGCAGAUCGACAGCAUUUUUAUAGCUCUGUUGACAGAAAACUGCCGUGAACAUAGAUUCCCAGGCUUCAGUGGACGUGAGUUUUCCUUAUGAUACAGGGAAGAGUCAACAGUAUUCCAGUCUUUCUCAUAAUUCCAUUAGUGUGUGUUUAAUACAUAUCAUGGGGACUUGCUAGUGAUGAGGAAGUGUGUUCUUGUUUAGCCUGUCUGGGCUCCAGGAAAGGCCUGCUAUGUUGCGCUUCCCUUUUCCUUCCAAUUUUUGCUGUAUUCCAAAAGAAGAGCAAUGAGAGGAGAACAUUGUUAUAGUUACACAUCUUAAAGCCAAGCUAGAAGUCAUUUUGAGCUUUCUCUUUGUUUUAUGAAAUUUCAUUUUUGUUUUUCAGGAUAUAGAAUGACUUCAUCUGAAGUGCCCUGCCAAAUAGUGACUUAGACAUUUACCUAGAGAAGGUAAAUGGUCUCUAGGCCUUCUCUUCCCAGUUAAUGAUGGUACCGUGAGGAUGGAUCUCCUUUCCUAGUUACUCAUCAAAUGCUCUUCCUACAGUUAAUUUUCAUAUAGCCUAGUUACUCAUCAAAUGCUCUUCCUACAGUUAAUUUUCAUAUAGCCAACACCUCCCCUUGUAUGCUUUUUGUCGUGAGCAUUCUUGUGAUGCAGAAAUAGUACUUUUUCACUUUACACAGUGAUUUGUUAAGGAAGAGACCAAUGUUUAGGUAGAAUUAUACAUUUGAUACUUUAGAUAUUCUUCAGACACAUGAGUGGAAAAAUGGCAAGAUAGAUAGAUUGAUUGGUUUCAGUGUACUCUAUAAUGGUCUCUGAGUCUUGAGCAGGGGUCAGCAGACUUUGACCCAGCAGGCCAAAUCCAGCUUGUGUCCUAUUUUUUUUUGGCCUGUGAACUAAGACUGGUUUUAACAUUUUUCAGUGAUUGAAAACAUAUCAAAAGGAGAGCCUAUUUUGACAUGUGAAAAUUAUAUGAAUUUUAGAUUUCAAUGUCUACAAAUAAAGUUUUGAAUUUGGUCAGUUAAAAAGUUUGUGGAAAUUUGUUCUCUCUCUUGUUAAAUAAGCUCUACAUAAUAUAUUUGAUUUUGCCUUUAGGCCUACAAAGCCUAGCAUAUUUACUAUCUGGUCCUUUACAGAAGUUGAUGACCCUUAAUUUUAUUUAUUUAUUUUUAUUUAUUUUUUAAAAAGAUUUUAUUUAUUUAUUCGACAGAGAUAGAGACAGCCAGCGAGAGAGGGAACACAAGCAGGAGGAGUGGGAGAGGAAGCAGGCUCAUAGCAGAGGAGCCUGAUGUGGGGCUCGAUCCCAUAACGCCGGGAUCACGCCCUGAGCCGAAGGCAGACGCUCAACUGCUGUGCCACCCAGGCGCCCCUGAUGACCCUUAAUUUUAAAUCUUAGUUUUGCCAUUUAGUAUUUGUGGGUUUGGAUAAUAUGUUCAAUAUCUUUCUAUUCCAUAAUUUGUUUGUAAAAUGCAAAUAGUAGUAUGGAUUUCAUAGGGUUUUAUGAGGAUUAGGAGAGUUAAUAUUAAUAGGCCACUAGAACAGUGACUGACAAUAAGAAGUGCUUAAGUUAAAAACAUGUUAUUAUGUGGAUAAUUUAAGUCCACGUUCAUAGAUAAGGAGCAAUGAAAAUGAGAAGUUAAUUAUAAUAGGUAGUUGUAAGAAAGAAAAUGAGCCAUAUGCUCAGAUGGUCUAAAGCAGGGUGCCUGGGUGGCUCAGUCAGUUAACUGUCUGCCUUUGGCACAGGUCAUGAUUCCAGGGUCCUAGGAUCGAGCCCCAGGUCGGGCUCUCUGCUCAGUGGGGAACCUGCUUCUUCCUCUGCCUGCUGCUCUGCCUACUUAUGCUCUCUUUCUCUCUGUCAAAUAAAUAAAUAAAUAAAAUCUUUAAAAAAAUAAAACAGGAAUCCUUCACCUUAAAUGAUUUGCCUUCCAAUUGUAUACCUAAUUAUUGCAUAUUUAUUUUAUUAAUACAUAUUUUUCUUGGGGAAAAGUCUAUAAUUUUAUGAUACUAUCAAAGGUAUACAUGACCCAAACAAGUUUUGAACCACUAACUUAGUUAUAAUAACUUAUAAUUGGAAGUCAACUUUAGGAGGAGUUUGUCUAAAAAUAAUUU
ensembl:lncRNA